rnacentral:rRNA from 1 species
AUGGCAGAGUUCUCGUGGCUCACGGCGCUAGGGUUCGUCUUCCUGACCUUCAACUCCGGCAUGGCCGUCUACCGCUCCAACGGCGACGCGGGGUCCGUCAUCUUCGUCGCCAUCUCCUACCUCGACCUCGUGGCCCUCUUCGCCUGCCUGCGCCUCUACGAGCGCCUCGACCGCCACUCCCCUCGCCGGGAGCGGAUCAAGGCCGCCGUCUGGGCGCUCACCACGCUGCUCACCGUCAUGUUCACCUACAAAGUCGCCGAGGUCAUGCCGCUCGCCGUCAAGCUCCUCGUCUGGGCGAUGGCCGCCGCCACCACCUUCGGCGGCUUCUACGUCUUCUUCGUCCACGACGACAAGCAGUACCAGCAGCUGCAGGACGCGUCGGCGGCCGCCGAGCGCGGGGACGUCGCCAACUAG